CAAAAUUGAAGAUGGAAAAUCAUCACCCUGCUACGUCCUCUUCUGUUCUGAGCAAAUGCUCAAGGAGGGAAUCUCAGAUACGUCUGACAGGCUCUGUACUGCCCAUAGCU